rnacentral:lncRNA from 1 species
CCGUUCCAAGUACCUAAAUGGUUGUUUGUGAUGACAUCCAUGUCCUUCCACUCAUUGAUUAUGUUCUCUUGGGCCUCUAGUACUUCUUGAUGUUCACUUUAACACUCUCGUAUCCGUUUGCGUAGCUGAUAAUUGACUUUUGCUGCAGUCUUCUCAUCAAUAACCCUGUGACCAUGGACGAAGCCUGUUUUCCCAAGCCAAUAUGAUCGUCUUCUAACCAUCC